CAUCACUCGUGGGUUUACUGCUCUCCACGUGUCCAUAUAGCUCAUCGCGGGGGUUCAGCUGCCUCUUCUACUUCGCCAGGUAGGUGCCAAGAGACAGGUGUCAGCGCGGGACAGAGCGGCGGGGGAGCAGCGGUAGCCCAAGUGAGUGUUACUUCUCCCUUACGUCAUUCAUUAGGAAGCGCCAUGUACUAACCACGUGCCUUCCCUUCCAGAUGUACUAAUCAUUUCUCUCGAGAUAUUUUUUUAGUAAACAGGUGUGUCUGCAUGUCUUUCUUUGUGUGACUGAUGGCGAAGACACUACGAGUAAGAACGCUACGAGGGAUACGCCUACUUUAAACCAUCAACCUCCUCUGUUGGUGACAUCACUGGCUUCAUGGUGCCAUUCGGAUACGAGACAAUCAAGACGCUGCCUUCAUGACGUGAUACACCAAGAAGCCAAUCAAGACACUCAUGACGUCAUUCACUAACAAGCUAGUCGGUGAAUGUCAAAAGGUCAGCGGAGCCCCUCACACACCUGGCCGCCGCUCAUUACCGUGUUGGUUACCUGUUUUUUUACCUGGCCUGACCUCAUCUGACCUGACCUGAACUCCUCUUCCUCGGCCUGCAGACUAUGCCCUUGGGUCCUGUCUUGAGGUUGUGGCUCGGGGUGUGAGAUCGAACGC